UCAACCUCCAUCCAGUGUGCGUGAGCUUUUGCAGGGAAGAUAGUGGAAAUAGGGCAGGUUCGGGGACUGGAUACAAUUGUCUUGUUGGCAUGAAUUAUUCUAUGUGCAUGAUUUCUAAAUGAUAGGCUAUUCAUUGCGGUGCUGCACACAACCCUGAUCUGCUUUCUAGAACGGUGGAUCUACCAACAAGCUCACCGUGGGUUUGUAACCAUUGCAACCUGCGCUCGUGCUUAACUUCGGAAACUAUGAAGAGUCAAUUUCGAGACGCACAAGAUUUGUACAAUUCAGUGGUAACUGUUCCUUGCCAUAGGAUCGUUAGCUGUAUAUGAGUAGCAUAUAUGUCGUGACUUAACAGUAACACUGAUUUUCAAUGGUUGUAGUGCCCACUAUCUUGGUUUAUUAUUGCAGAUUGCACAAUUUCAUGCGAAACCAGACAUGAAUAUACAGGAGGUGGAUUCAUAUCACCAGACUGUUUACCUGUGUUGAAAUAUCUUGCAUGCCUUGUGCAUAGAAUGUAUGUGAGGAAACGUGCGUAAUGUUGACUUUGGAUGUAUGGAGAUGUCGAGCAACUGAGGAUCCAUAAGAACAUAUAAGAGUGAUUGUCAACCAAAACAGACAUUGAAAAAAUGAGUCAAGAUGAAGGGAUAUCAUUGUCGGUUCCCUCCUUUGGUCCUGGCUCGGGCCCUGAGGGUGCCUGCGGGGACUCUGCUGGCUCCCGGGAAGAGAGCGUGAGCGGUGCCCUCAUUCCCGCGGCUGGGACAUUCUGGCACGACUCGGUGGUCAGCGGAAGCAUCAUUCCUAAUAUUCUGAGCUGCCCGAAGGACAGUGGCGGCUUGUUGUCUACGGUGAAAUGUAAAAGCAGGGCUGUCACAGUGGCAUAUGUCGUCAACAGCGAGCUCACUCAGCCGCACACCGCAGAGAACAUGGCCCUGCAUUGCCUGAAAGACGCGUGCGACUCCGUGGGAAGUAAACUGGAAAUCAUACACUUUGGAAAGAUCGACUUUGGAGAGACGUGUGUGCUUGACCAGUUCUAUAAUGCAGACAUAGCUGUGGUGGAGAUGACGGACGCUUUUCGCCAGCCCUCCCUGUUCUACCACCUGGGUGUGAGGGAGAGCUUCAGCAUGGCCAACAACAUCAUCCUGUACUGUGACACCAACUCUGACUCGCUUCAGUCCCUGCAGGAUAUUAUUUGCCAGAAGAACACUACAUGCUCAGCCAACUACAGCUUCAUCCCGUACAUGGUGACGCCGCACAACAAGGUGUACUGCUGCGAGAGCAGCCUGAUGAAGGGCCUGACAGAGCUGAUGCAGCCCAGCUUCGAGAUGCUGCUGGGACCAAUCUGCAUAUCCCUGCUGGACCGCUUCAUCCAGCUGUUCAAGGUGCCCCAGGCUAACUCCUGCCAAUACUUCAGAGAAACCAUUCUCAACGAGAUUCGGAAAGCGCGGGAAUUGUUCACAGGGAUGGAGCUGGCCUCAGAACUCAGCCGAAUUCAACAACGAUUGGACAACGUAGAGUGCCUUUCAGCUGACAUCGUCAUCAACCUGCUUCUGUCCUACAGGGACAUCCAGGAUUAUGAAUCCAUAGUGAAGCUGGUGGAGACCUUGGAGAAGCUUCCUACAUUCGACCCUGUGGCCAAUCCCCAUGUCAAGUUCCACCAUGCCUUUGCACUGAAUCGGAGGAACCUCCCAGGGGACCGUCAGAAGGCCCUGGACAUCAUGCUGCCCCUGGUGAAGGCUGACAACCAGGUGGCCUCAGACAUCUACUGCCUGGUGGGACGCAUCUACAAGGACAUGUUCCUGGAGUCCCACUUCGCUGACAAAGAGAGCAGGGACAGUGGCACGGCCUGGUUUAAGAAGGGGUUUGAGUCUGAGCCAACACUACACUCUGGCAUCAACUACGCCGUUCUACUCCUGGCAGCGGGACACCAGUUUGACGCCUCCUUCGAGCUACGCAAAGUCGGAGUGAAGCUGAGCAGCCUACUGGGGAAGAAGGGCAGCCUGGACAAGCUGCAGAGCUACUGGGAUGUGGGUUUCUUCCUGGGGGCUAGCAUCCUGGCCUGUGACAACACCAGGGUCAUACAGGCCUCCGAGAAACUCUUCAAAUUGAAGGCCCCUGUCUGGUAUCUGCGCUCUCUUGUGGAGACCAUCUUGAUUUACCAGCACUUCAAAAAGCCCUCUGUGGAGCAGCCGCCGCCCAAACAGGAACUGGUGGACUUCUGGAUGGACUUCCUGGUGGAGGCCACAAAGAAAGACGUCUCGUCUGUCCGCUUCCCGGUGUUGAUAUUGGAGCCCACUAAAAUCUAUCUGCCUUCGUACUUGUCCAUAAACAACGAUGUGGAGGAGAACACUGUCUCCAUCUGGCAUGUUUCCCCUGAUGACAAGCACAGGGGGGUCCAUGAGUGGAACUUCAGGGCCAUGUCAGUACGGGGUGUCAGUAUUUCCAAGUUUGACGAGCGCAGUGCCUUCCUGUAUGUGCUGCACAACUCAGAGGACUUUCAGAUCUACUUCUGCACGGAGAUGCACUGCAAAAGGUUCUGUGAUCUGGUCAACAGCAUCGCAGAGGAAGCAUGGAAAGCCCCGGAAGAGGGGGAGUGUGACAUUGACGCCCUAGAGUACGACUAUGAGUAUAAUGAGCACGGAGAGAGGGUGGUUCUGGGAAAAGGGACGUUUGGAGUGGUGUACGCCGGCCGGGACCUUAGCAACCAGGUGCGGCUGGCCAUCAAGGAGAUACCGGAGAGAGACAGCAGGUACUCCCAGCCCCUCCAUGAGGAGAUUGCCCUUCACAAACAUCUGAAGCACAAGAACAUUGUGCAGUACUUGGGCUCCAUCAGCGAGAAUGGUUUUAUCAAGAUCUUCAUGGAGCAGGUUCCCGGAGGAAGCCUGUCUGCUCUGCUAAGGUCUAAAUGGGGUCCUCUGAAGAACAACGAACCCACCAUCGGCUUCUACACCAGACAGAUCCUGGAGGGACUCAAAUACCUCCAUGACAACCAGAUUGCUCACAGAGACAUCAAGGGUGAUAAUGUGCUUAUAAACACAUAUAGCGGAGUUCUGAAGAUAUCUGACUUUGGCACCUCUAAAAGGCUGGCUGGGAUCAACCCCUGGACUGAGACUUUCACUGGGACACUACAGUACAUGGCCCCUGAGAUCAUAGAUAAAGGCCCUCGAGGCUACGGCAAGCCUGCGGACAUCUGGUCUCUUGGCUGCACCAUCAUUGAGAUGGCCACUGGGAAACCACCCUUCUACGAGCUGGGCGAACCACAGGCCGCCAUGUUCAAGGUUGGCAUGUUCAAGAUCCAUCCUGAGAUCCCAGAUUCCAUGUCAAUGGAGGCCAAGGCCUUUAUCCUACGCUGCUUUGAACCCGACCCCGACCAGAGGGCCACCGCCCUGCACCUGCUCACUGAUGAGUUCCUCACCGUCACCAGCCGCAAGAAGAGGGGCAAGAGCAGCUUUACAGCUCUGACACCAGGAGGUUCAGAGUACCUGCGCAGCAUCUCUCUGCCAGUGCCUGUGGUGGUGGAAGACACCAGCAGCAGCAGCGAGUACGGCUCCGUCUCCCCUGAGAACGACCUCAACACCAACCCCUUCAGCUUCAAGCCCAGCACUAAGUGUUACAGUGAUCGGGAUGUCAAAGCAACCCGCUCCCUGUUCCUCAGUAUCCCAGUGGAGAACUUUGAGGACCACAGUGCUCCUCCGUCUCCUGAUGAGAAGGACUCUGGCUUCUUCAUGCUGAGGAAGGACAGCGAGAGGAGGGCCACUCUGCACCGCAUCCUCACUGAGGACAGAGACAAGGUGGUGUCCAACCUCGUGGAGGCUCUCAAACAGGGUUCUGAGACAUCGGACACUAAGUUGAGACAUCAGCAUAUCUCCACCCUGGUGGUCAGUCUGGGGGACUUUGUGCGCAUGGCAGACAGGAAGAUCAUAGCCAACACCCUCUCCCAGCUCAAACUAGAGCUAGACUUUGACAGCACAGCCAUUAGCCAACUCCAAGUGGUGCUAUUUGGGUUCCAGGACGCAGUAAACAAAGUUCUACGAAACCACAACAUCAAGCCCCACUGGAUGUUCGCCCUGGACAAUAUCAUCCGUAAAGCGGUGCAGACUGCCAUCACCAUCCUGGUGCCAGAGCUAAGGCCCCACUUCAGCCUGGCCUCGGAGGAUGACCCGGCCGACCAGGAUAACGUUGACGAUGACGUGGAGCCUGAGGAUAACUCCGUCCAUCAGUGCAGAGCCCCUCCUAACGCUGCCCAUGACAACACGGUCGCCACCUCCGGUGUGAGCACGCUCAGUUCCACCGUCUCACACAGAUCCCAUAAUACCCAGUGCUCCGUCACCAUGGAACUAGGCAGGAUGAAGCUGAAAACCAACAGGCUGAUGGAGCAGCUGCUGGCGAGGGAGAGAGAGUACCAGGCUGUCCUCCAGCAUGUCCUGGAUGAGAGGGAACAGGAGAUCAAACUUCUGAGGAUCCGCUCAGAACCCAUCGAUAUGCCUACAUCAUCUGUGAGCCAGAAGAGCCGGUCCACUGUGAGCCAUGGGGACCCAGAGCUGAUCAAGUGGCUGAGACUCCAUGGGGCUGACGAUGACUCCAUGGACAGGGUAGGUCCUGAGGAAGCCCAGCCCCCGGCCACGUCUGUUUUAAAUGGAUUUUGACCGAGGAUUACACUUUGGAUGACCUUCUCCAGUAUGUGAUGAGAGACGACCUGAAGAGUUUGGGAUUAAGAGGUGGGAUGCUGUGUAAGCUAUGGAAGGCCAUUACAGACUACAGACAGAAACCAGUGUGAGGAGCCCUCGUGUGGAGUUAGCUACCUCUACAGUACAGGACCUUUAGCACAAGCACAACAACAACAACAACUCGGUAUUCUCCUCAACACUCACCACUGCACUUAAAUCUCAGUAAUUAUCAGACCAAGACUCAGUCCUGAUGGGGGACAGUUCCAGUGUAGUUUAUCAUGAAUUGACACAUGAGUUGUUUUUUGGAAAUUACUAUUUUGAAAUGGGGUUAAGUGCCACUGGUUUUAUAAUGUUCAACAGUUAUGACACCGGCGCCAAGAUUUACAGGGCAAACAGUGAAACAUAUCUGAGAAUUUAACCUUUAAAUGUUAUUAGGUUGUAGAAUUUUCUCCUUACUAUCAUGUGUUUACUAUCAUGAGAUUGACCAUUUUCUAAAACAAGCCUGAGAGACAAAAUACAACGUUAACUGAUGUGUUUGAGCUGCUGUACAUUAUCUUGAUAAACAACAUUGCUAUUGCUAGUGGCUUCUUAUCACUAUUUUAUUUAACUGUGUUUUAUGGAUAUGCCCUGCUCUCAUUGCCAUCACUGCAUGCCUGCCCUUUUGUACUUGUUUGUUUAACUGGCAUUGAAGGCUUUGAAACAUCA